GAGACGCAGCGCACACAGAAGUGCGCGACUUGCCGUUUCGUUCCACCACAGCGGCCGCAUAUAAGCACUCGGGGGCAACGGCAAAUGACUGUGUAGGCUUCUUCUUCUUAUUCUUUUGACACUUCU
ensembl:ncRNA Y54E10BL.8 ncRNA